GUUCACCGGCGAGUUUUGCUUUUCACUUUGACAUGCAAAACAUCGCUUAUUGUAUGUGCUUUUUCAGGCUCCGCCUUACAAAAGCACUGAAAAAAAUAUUUUCGGAAUCUGAUGAUUCCUCAAAUUUUUUUUAUGGAG
rfam:Treponema phagedenis F0421 genomic scaffold Scfld1898, whole genome shotgun sequence.